AAAUCAGAUUCCUCCUCUCCUCUUAGCACCGGAGCUCCACCCCGCCGUUGCACACGUCGUCUCUGGAGCUGGCGCCGCCGCACUGAACUCAAGCCUGGACCACCUUAAAUUUUUGCACUAUAGAAUGUUCAGGAAGUUAUAAAACCUCAAGUCUCAACCCAAACAAGUUUUGUUGGAAGUAGUGGAGUUGGUAGAUAUGGAAACGGAGUUGGAGCUGGAAAAGGAAUUGGAACUGGUGCUGGAAAAGGAAGAGCUGGAAAUUGAGCUAGAAAAGAUUGAAGGGUAGUAGCAGUGUUAGUUUUGUAGGACCUUUUAUAUAUUAGGACCUUUGAUUGUUUGAACCUUUUAUGGUUACUGUUUUGUACAUCUGUCCAUAAGCUUAUUUGAUGGUGUUAAUGGACAAAAGUAACCUAUUUUAUGUUGAUCUUAGGUAGGACCUUUGGUU